rnacentral:rRNA from 1 species
ACUCCUACGGGAGGCAGCAGGUGGGGAAUAUUGCACAAUGGGCGCAAGCCUGAUGCAGCAACGCCGUGUGAGUGAAGAAGGUUUUCGGAUCGUAAACUCUGUCCUAAGGGAAGAAACAAAUGACGGUACCUUAGGAGGAAGCCCCGGCUAACUACGUGCCAGCAGCCGCGGUAAUACGUAGGGGGCAAGCGUUAUCCGGAAUCACUGGGCGUAAAGGGUGCGUAGGCGGCUUAGCAAGCCAGGGGUGAAAGGCAUUGGCUCAACCCAAUGUAAGCCUUUGGAACUGUUAGGCUUGAGUGCAGGAGAGGUAAGUGGAAUUCCUAGUGUAGAGGUGAAAUUCGUAGAUAUUAGGAGGAACACCAGUGCGAAGGCGACUUACUGGACUGUAACUGACGCUGAUGCAC